rnacentral:ncRNA from 1 species
AAAACGGCUCUUUUAAGAGCCACCCACAUGUUAAACUAUGAGCUG